GCUAUUUUGUCAGAUAAAUGAAAUAAAUUUAGAAUUUAUAUAUGUAAUAAUUUUACAAAUAGUA
rnacentral:tRNA from 1 species